UCUCCGUUGGUGAACCAGCGGAGGGAUCAUUACUGAGUGAGGGCUUCGGUCCGACCUCCAACCCUUUUGUGAACCACCUCGUUGCUUCGGGGGCGACCCUGCCGUCCGCGGCGUGGGGCCCCCGGAGGCUCAUCAAACACUGCAUCUCUGCGUCGGAGUCUUAAUGAAUUUAAACAAAACUUUUAACAACGGAUCUCUUGGUUCUGGCAUUGAUGAAGAACGCAGC
rnacentral:misc_RNA from 1 species